UCUGCGUUGAUUGACAGUUGACAUUCUUUAGAAUUAUUUUUUUGAUUGACAGGGCGUCGUCAAGGAGACGUUCGACUCAGUCAGUCCCGCGCCGGUGUCGUGCGCCAGGAAGUCCCUCCAGGGAAGUCCUUACUUUGAACAACUUCAUCACUUUGAUGGAUUAUUUCAUUGAUUCACUUUCCCCAUACUUUGGUCUUGUUGUGCCUUUGGAUAUACUAAUCCGUAUUAUCUCGGAAGCUCUGCAGUUUUGAGCACUUAAGGCGUCGGUGUUACUCUCUUCGCUCAGCAUCCAAACCGUGCCACCUCCACCAACAGCCAGAAGAUCAUCUCGGCAUCACAGCUGUCGAUGGGGCAUUACGUUUUUUCCUACUAGACUAAUGCUUGAACUGGCCUUGCCCCAGGGCAGACUCCUGACAUGAUGUUUAGUUUAGUUUAGUGUGUGUGUGUGUGUGUGUGUGUGUGUGUGUGUGUGUGUGUGUGUGUGUGUGUGUGUGUGUUUGUGUGUGUGUGUGUACUCGUUAUUUACUCUUUAUGAAAAAAAAAAAAAAAACUAACCCUCUUUGCAACUGCACUUGUUGUUCUGUAUAUCUCCUGUGCACUUUAUUUGCUUGUGAUGUUGGCUUGAUUAUGUCCUCUUUUGAAAGUCGCUUUGGUUAUAAAGCGUCUGCCAAAUGCAAUGUAAUGUAAUGUAAUGUAAUGUUAUCACUACCACAGCAACGGUUAGUAAUGUGUCAAACAUAGCCUAUACCUCUACUAGUGGUAUGACACUGUCAAAUGUUGCAUGUGAAGUGAAAUGCCUUGCCAUUAGCCUAUAUAUUCCUGGGAACAUUGUGUGUGCCUCAUUUGACUUAUCUGUAGCUUAUUAUGUUAUAGAGGUGCCAUUCCAGUGAGAUUUCCACAAAGAAAAGUGUCAAGAUAAAAACAGAUGCACCAUGGACCCUUUCCACCUCAACACCAAUCCAACAAAGGCCGGGUAAAACUUCCAGGUUAGAGGAGGAAGAGGAUGGCAUCACAACACCAGCUGACCCCUUGAUAUCUGGCAUUUGGAGAAAGAGCACAUCACAGUCGUCUGUGUGACACCCCCUCGCUGCACGCCAGCACCCAAACCAAGCCACCUCCACCACCGGUCAGAUCAUAUCGCUGAAGAUGUGUACAGUACGCUCCUGCCUGCAUCCUACCACCACAAGUUCACCCCAGAGGAUCUGCUGUCGACAACCAUUGUGAUAUCGUUGCAAUUAUGAAACACACUUAAUAAAUGCUAAUACAUCAC